rnacentral:rRNA from 1 species
CCAGACUCCUACGGGAGGCAGCAGUGGGGGAUAUUGCACAAUGGGGGAAACCCUGAUGCAGCGACGCCGCGUGAGUGAAGAAGUAUUUCGGUAUGUAAAGCUCUAUCAGCAGGGAAGAAAAAAGACGGUACCUGACUAAGAAGCCCCGGCUAACUACGUGCCAGCAGCCGCGGUAAUACGUAGGGGGCAGGCGUUAUCCGGAUUUACUGGGUGUAAAGGGAGCGUAGACGGUUACGCAAGUCUGGAGUGAAAGGCGGGGGCCCAACCCCCGGACUGCUUUGGAAACUGUAUAACUGGAGUGCAGGAGAGGUAAGUGGAAUUCCUAGUGUAGCGGUGAAAUGCGUAGAUAUUAGGAGGAACACCAGUGGCGAAGGCGGCUUACUGGACUGUAACUGACGUUGAGGCUCGAAAGCGUGGGGAUCAAACAGGAUUAGAUACCCCGGUAC